UCACCGAGCUCGUCAUGCUAGAGCACUUUUUCAAUGGGCUCCCCAACGACAAUGUGACAAAACAUUCGUAUGUCAUCCAUAUCAACUUUUGAUGCCAUUUACUGCGCCUACCAUGGUGACCACGGGUAACGGGGAAUCAGGGUUCGAUUCAGGAGAGGGAGCCUGAGAAAUGACUACCACAUGCAAGGAAGGCAGCGGGCGCGCAAAUGACCCACUCCCGAUGCAGGAAGGUAGUGACGA
rnacentral:rRNA from 1 species